rnacentral:ncRNA from 1 species
CUUAUCAAGAGCGGUGGAGGGAUCGGCCCGAUGAAACCCGGCAACCUGCGCAGGCAAGGUGCCAAAUCCGGCGGUGACAAAGAUCGAAAGAUGAGG